CGGCAUUAAUCCAUUCAGGUGAUAUUAAUGGCCUUUUCCUGCCAGGAACUCCAGUGGGCACUCAGGAAGCCAGGAUUACAGGGCUCUAUCCAGUCACCGCAUGUCUCGGCAUUCGGGAAGCCUAUCUCAGUCUCCUCAAAUUCUGCACACAUAAAACUUCAGAGCCUGGGAGCGACCCAUGAAACGCAGGUUUUUAAGGACAAAACAAUAGGACAAAAGUGCUGUAUAUUGUCCUUAAGAUGACACAUGAAUUUAAAAUGCAUAGUGUUUGGAUUAUUCAUGAGAGCCCCGCAAGAACGAUGUCCCAGGGGUUUUUGCCAGGAACAUGCCUGAGAUUGUAGAUAAGAAUCAAGCAUCUGGGGCUGCCGCACAAUGGAAAACUCCAGCACUCCAUGGAACUUUUCCAUCUGCAGCAGUCGGAGGAUUUGCCUGAGAACAUACGCGGCAUGAAGACACUCUCAGCCCUCAAGGGCACCCAGUCAGCGCUGUUUAAGGACGGUUUUUCUGUUCACAGCAUACUUCAUGAUUACAGCUUCACUCCAUUGGAUACAACUAUUUACUGAGCAUCUCCUGACACCAGAGAGGACGCAACAAAAAUCACAACUCCUAGAACUGCACAGUCUAAAUGGCAACCACUAGCCCCUGUGACAACUGAUCACUUGAAAAAUUCUUUAGACGACAGCCAUCAAGCAGCAAAUACCUCGCAGGAGGCCAUUGUGUUUCUAUUUGAACUUCUAUGGAUGUCAAGCUCUGUUCUUCAAAAUUUAGCCCUACAGAUGGGUGGCCCACCGGAGAGAAUUAAUCUCACUAUGCAGCCAACACUACCCUUUCUGGAUCUUUCCCCAGUAGUGUGGAUUCUGCUCUAGUCCAGAAUUAUGCAGAAUAAGUAUACUUCAUCUUAGACACCAUAAUUCUUCAAAUAUCUAAAAUGUAUAUUAUGCUCUCCAAAUCCUGGUCAUCUCCAGGUUAAGUAUCUCUCAAAAACAGUCCAUCAGAUAAUAUGAUUUUAAAUCUUUAUCCCCUUGGUCAUAUACCCACAAUCUCAUUCUAUUUACCAAUAUCCCUACUGAUGCAUAAACUACAUAUGUAUAUGUGUGUUUUUUUUUAAAAAAAAAGCAAUUCCACUGUAAUUUUAGCAGAGGUUAUUUCCACAUAGAGCUAUGUAUAUGUGUAUAUACACAUAUCUUUAUAUUAUAUAGUUUUCUGUGCUUUCCCAGUUAUCUACAAUGGGCAUAUAUGACUUUUAUAGCCAGGUAAUUCAAUAUUCAUUCAUUCAGUGAACAUCAUUGAGCAUCCACUAUGGGCUGGGAAGUGAGGAUGGAGCCACAAACAAGCAAAAUAAAAACCCCUGCUCUUGUGGAGUUCCCUUCUCAUUGGAAGAGACGUACAGUAAAGAAAAAAAUAAAAGAGUAAAGUUAAUAGCCUGUGAGAAGGGGAUAUAAAAGUGGGAAGGAAGACAGGGUGAUGUGUGAGAAACACUUUUUUUUUU
rnacentral:lncRNA from 1 species